rnacentral:rRNA from 1 species
AUAAACGCUGGCGGCGCACAUAAGACAUGCAAGUCGAACGGAAGUCGCUAUACUGAUUUGAAAUGAACGGAGAACUUGUCAAAGGGACUGGAUGAAGAUUAUAACAAUGGCUUAGUGGCGGACUGGUGAGUAACGCGUGAGCAACCUGCCUAUUAGAGGGGAACAACAGUUAGAAAUGACUGCUAAUACCGCAUAUGCCUAAGUACCACAUGGUACAAUAGGGAAAGGAGUAAUCCGCUAAUAGAUGGGCUCGCGUCUGAUUAGAUAGUUGGUGGGGUAACGGCCUACCAAGUCAACGAUCAGUAGCCGGACUGAGAGGUUCAACGGCCACAUUGGGACUGAGAUACGGCCCAGACUCCUACGGGAGGCAGCAGUCGGGAAUAUUGCGCAAUGGAGGAAACUCCUGACGCAGUGACGCCGCGUGCAGGAAGAAGGUUUUCGGAUUGUAAACUGCUUUAGACAGGGAAGAAAAAGACAGUACCUGUAGAAUAAGCUCCGGCUAACUACGUGCCAGCCGCGGC